rnacentral:rRNA from 1 species
CAGUCGCCGCGGGAAUACGAAGGGGGCUAGCGUUGUUCGGAUUUACUGGGCGUAAAGCGCACGUAGGCGGAUGAUUAAGUCAGGGGUGAAAUCCCGAGGCUCAACCUCGGAACUGCCUUUGAUACUUGGUUGCUUGAGUGGGGAAGAGGGUCGUGGAAUUCCCAGUGUAGAGGUGAAAUUCGUAGAUAUUCGGAAGAACACCAGUGGCGAAGGCGGCUCACUGGCUCAUUCUAGACGCUGAGGUGCGAAAGCGUGGGGAGCAAACAGGAUUAGAUACCCGUGUAGUCCCUGUCUCUUAUAC